rnacentral:rRNA from 1 species
UCGUAGUUGGAUUUCUGGCAGGAGCGACCGGUCACACACUCUGUGUGUGAACUUGCGUUGUCUCUGGCCAUCCUUGGGGAGAUCCUGUUUGGCAUUAAGUUGUCGGGCAGGGGAUACCCAUCGUUUACUGUGAAAAAAUUAGAGUGUUUAAAGCAGGCUUAUGCCGUUGAAUAUAUUAGCAUGGAAUAAUAAGAUAGGACUUCGGAACUAUUUUGUUGGUUUGCGUUACGAAGUAAUGAUUAAUAGGGACAGUUGGGGGUAUUCGUAUUUCGUUGUCAGAGGUGAAAUUCUUGGAUUUCCGAAAGACGAACUACUGCGAAAGCAUUUACCAAGGAUGUUUUCAUUAAUCAAGAACGAAAGUUAGGGGAUCGAAGAUGAUUAGAUACCAUCGUAGUCUUAACCAUAAACUAUGCCGACUCAGGAUCCGCGAUUGUUUUUUGACUUCGUGGGCACUGUAUGAGAAAUCAAAGUCUUUGGGUUCCGGG